AAGGCAUUUCCUAGGCAGGGAGCCUAGCAAGAGGCUUCUCUUUCUGAGCAUAAAGCAUUUCGAGACUCCAGGAAGGAGUCACAAGAUUAAAAGGCACCUGGACCACAGAAAGACAACAAUUAGGAAGACCUGCUCUGGGUUUGUGCAUGAGCAAGGAACACGAAUUAUUUCUCAAGCCACUGAAAAUAUAGUUUGAUGACGGCAACAGGUAGGGGUUACCAUAACAAUCCGACCUCAUGGGCUCGAAACUUGACAAAUAGCACACGACUGUCAAUGAGUGGACACAGGGCAGCUGGUAGUGGGCCCGGCCUGAAGAGUCUCCCUGACCUUGGCAGGACACUGGAUGGUGGUGACCCAUUAUAUAGUUCCAUUGCCCGGGUUGGGCAGAGCUGCCUAACUGUGACCCCAGAAUCUUAAUACGACCCCAAGAGAAAGGUACCCUGAAAAUGGCUGAAAUCGUUCUUACUGCCACAUUCUCACAACUGGGUUUGAAAUAAAUGACUGUGGCUCGGUAGGAAUGCCGACAGCAGCAUUUAUUUGUACUUGUUGAAGAUAACGAUGAAGGAGUUGAGGAUGAAGGUGAAGAUGAUGAGGGUGAAGGGGAGGAGAGGAUGACUAGCACUGAUGGACUCCAACCUUCCUUUUUCUUUUUAUUUAUUUUUAAAAUUUUCUCCAGUCCCUAGGAGCAAGUUACAGCUCUUUUCUCCCUGCCCCUCUAUGGUCAGUCACCCUGUUUUUGAGGUCUCAACAUCAUGAUUCUCAACUAAUUUUGGGGAAAAUAUCUUGAGCAAAAUACAACAGGAGAAGAAUCU
ensembl:lincRNA